rnacentral:rRNA from 1 species
CCUACGGGCGGCAGCAGUGGGGAAUAUUGCACAAUGGGGGAAACCCUGAUGCAGCGACGCCGCGUGAGUGAAGAAGUAAUUCGUUAUGUAAAGCUCUAUCAGCAGGGAAGAAAAUGACGGUACCUUAGUCAGAAGCCCCGGCUAACUACGUGCCAGCAGCCGCGGUAAUACGUAGGGGGCAAGCGUUAUCCGGAUUUACUGGGUGUAAAGGGAGCGUAGACGGCAGUGCAAGUCUGGAGUGAAAGGCGGGGGCUCAACCCCCGGACUGCCCUGGACACUGUACGGCUGGAGUGCAGGAGAGGUAAGUGGAAUGCCUAGUGUAGCGGUGAAAUGCGUAGAUAUUAGGCGGAACACCAGUGGCGAAGGCGGCUUACUGAACUGUAACUGACGUUGAGGCUCGAAAGCGUGGGGAGCAAACAGGAUUAGAUACCCCUGUAGUC